CAUGACUACUAACUGCCGAAGCUUUGUUUGCUUAGUUGUUUCUUAGUCAGCAGAAACACUAGCAGCAGCCAGUCAUAGUGAUGGUGUCAAGUCACAUGAUACAAUCAGUCCCAGUCGUGUACUAAAGAAACCAAUAGUAACAGAUGACGUGUUAUUGUUAAUGACGCUGACUGGCAAACCUGAUUUCUGCUGAAUAACUGAAACUGUUGUCUGGAUGAUACCAGCUGUCAAUCACACAGGUUGUUGGUGUGUUGCAGUAAGUUCCAGGAAAUUUCUUAGAGUCUGCAGGGCGUUGUUCACCAUCUCUGCCUGUCGAUCACAAAGAGUCACACAGACAGGUGGGGACACAGCAUCUGCCGCAUGAAGACCCCCAGACCAACAGCUGCUCCUUCCGGACUUUACCCUGUUGUUCUUAUGUCUCCUGAACUCUGUGGCCUGGUAUCUGAUAUUUUGGGGCUAUAUUAGUCCACAGACUGGAGUUUGCUGUGAUGGGGCCAAGUGGAACUUCAAAUACAGACCUCACAGUGUCCUGUGCUGUACUCAGGAACCAUAAUAUAAGAUAAUGUAAGCAAAGUUUAUUGAGUCACUAAUAAAAGGA